rnacentral:rRNA from 1 species
UGAGUAACCUGCCCUUAGCUCUGGGAUAACCCCGGGAAACCGGGGCUAAUACCGGAUAUGAGUCCGAGCGGCAUCACGCGGACUGGAAAGUUUUUCGGCUAAGGAUGGGCUCGCGGCCUAUCAGCUUGUUGGUGGGGUAAUGGCCUACCAAGGCGACGACGGGUAGCCGGCCUGAGAGGGCGACCGGCCACACUGGGACUGAGACACGGCCCAGACUCCUACGGGAGGCA